rnacentral:rRNA from 1 species
UGGGGAAUAUUGGGCAAUGGGCGCAAGCCUGACCCAGCAACGCCGCGUGAGGGAAGAAGGUUUUCGGAUUGUAAACCUCUGUCGCAGAUGACGAAGGAAGUGACGGUAAUCUGUGAGGAAGCCCCGGCUAACUACGUGCCAGCAGCCGCGGUAAUACGUCGGGGGCGAGCGUUGUCCGGAAUUACUGGGCGUAAAGGGAGCGUAGGCGGUUAAUUAAGUUGGAUGUGAAAUCCCCGGGCUUAACUUGGGUGGUGCAUCCAAUACUGGUUGACUAGAGUACAGGAGAGGAAAGCGGAAUUCCUGGUGUAGCGGUGAAAUGCAUAGAUAUCAGGAGGAACAUCGGUGGCGAAGGCGGCUUUCUGGACUGACACUGACGCUGAGGCUCGAAAGCGCGGGGAGCAAACA